rnacentral:lncRNA from 1 species
UUUUUUUGAUUUCCCUUUCUUCUAUUUUCCUUUUUUUUUUGGAUUUCCUUUCAUCCCUUUUCCUUUUUUUUUCCUUUCUUCCCUUUUUUUUUUGGUAUUCCUUUCUUCUCUUUUUGUUUUUUUGUUUUUCCUUUCUUUCCUUUUUCAUUAUUUUUUUCGUGUUUCCUUUCAUCCCUCAUGCAUUAACUCUCAUCUUUUUCACCUUUUCUUAUUAAUUCUAUCCUUUGUGUUUUUUCCAUUCUUCC